rnacentral:lncRNA from 1 species
CUGGUCCUAAUCUGGAUAGUACACAACAAACACAAGGUAUAUGACAAAUUUCGAAGUUGUAUAUAAAGGACCAACCUUAACUCACAUUUCUCAAAUCACAAACAGCAAUAUCACAAUUAGUACUAAUUAACAAUGAAAAUGAGAACCCAAAAAACCCUUACAUUCCUCUUGUUACUAUCUUUUCUAUUUGCACAAAUCUCUGAAUCCGCCUUUCCUAAGUUUCUUUCUCCUGAUGCCUUAAAUGGUUUUCUCAAGAACAAUAAAUUUCCAUUAGCUGAAAUAAGAAAGAAAUACGAUUCCUUUCUUAAAAUACCAAGAAAAUCAGAUGGGCGCAGCAUUGAUUUUACUAAGCUGAAUAAAAAUGGCAAGAAAAUUAGAGCGCGUUUGGAGAAAACCCAAGAGCGUUUGGAGCAAGCCCAAGACGUCUACGAUG